rnacentral:rRNA from 1 species
UACAGAGGUCUCAAGCGUUGUUCGGAUUCAUUGGGCGUAAAGGGUGCGUAGGUGGCGCGGUAAGUCGGGUGUGAAAUUUCGGAGCUUAACUCCGAAACUGCAUUCGAUACUGCUGUGCUUGAGGACUGGAGAGGAGACUGGAAUUUACGGUGUAGCAGUGAAAUGCGUAGAUAUCGUAAGGAAGACCAGUGGCGAAGGCGGGUCUCUGGACAGUUCCUGACACUGAGGCACGAAGGCCAGGGGAGCAAACGGG